ensembl:snRNA U6 U6 spliceosomal RNA
GUACUUGCUUUGGCAGCACAUAUGCUAAAAUUGGAACAAUAGGGAGAAGAUUAGCAUGACCCCUGUCAAGGAUACCAUGCAAGUUUGUAAACGGUUCUUAUUUAAA